rnacentral:rRNA from 1 species
UACAGGGGGUGCAAACGUUGCUCGGAAUCAUUGGGCGUAAAGCGCACGUAGGCGGUUCGUUAUGUCGGAUGUGAAAGCCCUUGGCUUAACCGAGGAAGUGCAUCCGAAACUGGCGAGCUAGAGUACUAAAGAGGAUCGCGGAAUUCCCGGUGUAGAGGUGAAAUUCGUAGAUAUCGGGAGGAACACCGGUGGCGAAGGCGGCGAUCUGGGUAGAUACUGACGCUGAGGCACGAAGGUCAGGGGAGCAAACGGG